AGGAAUACAGAAAACAAAAAGAUUGUAGAUAUUUCUCAUCAUUUUUUCUCAUGGAAAAUGAGUUAUCUCACAUCACUGUCCCCUCCACUUACUCCAACUUGCCAGCUGUUUCACAAUUUUUUGUUUGUUUUGUUUUUUGGAGAUAGGGUCUCACUGUGCAGUUCAGGCUGGUCUUGAACUCAGGAUCCUCCUGCCUCAGCUUCCCAAGUGGUGAGAUUCCUGGCCCUGGGAUUUCUCUUUUACAUUUUCCUUAGUGAUUUCUUCCUCUUAUUUUCUACAUUGAUUCCUGUGUUUCUUGCCUUUCCUACCAUCCUCUUCUGUUAAUUUGGUGAAAUAUGUUCUUAAUUAGCGCUUUUUUUUUCUUUUUGGUACCGGGAAUCGAAUUCAGGACCUUUUGCUUGCCAAGCAGGCGCUUGUGCCUGGAGCUACAUCCCCGGCCUUAAUUAGCUUCCUGAGAAAAUGCUCACGAAGUGAAUUUUUGUAGACCUCGUACCUGUGAGAAAGAUGGCCUUUCAUUUACCUGAGUGUGAGACAGCUGACUGUAUGCCAGCUUCCAGGUGUCGGCAAGUUGCCCAGGCUGGGCUUGAAUUUGCAGAGCUCCUGCUUCCGCCUUCAGAGCGCUGGGAUUGCAGCCUGAGUCACCACACUCAGUACCUUCUCUUCUCCGUGUCUGAACCGUAUGCAUGACAGCAGCGUGGGUCAGCAGCUGGUUCUCCCUGGGGCUAAAGGACAGAGCCUGGGGAACUUGACGAAGAGAGUCAGGAUGUGAAGAGGAGGACUGCGAGGGUGAAGCCGGGGUUCCCUGCGGGAGGGGGAAAUGUGUUUUGGGAAACAAGAUAUAUUCACAUGAAAUAACCACUGAGAAUGUAAGUCGUUUAAUAUUACAUGCGUGAUUCAAGCAAUAAGUUGUAAAAAUUUAGAUGAGGAAAGAUCUUUUAGUCUGAGAUAUGCAAGAAUUAAACUGUAUUCUCCUAAUUAAAGUCACAGGAUGGUGGCUGCCUUAGGCUUUAUAAAUAAAAAAAUACAUCCCUGAGGACCAAAAUAUUAUUAUGACUAUUAUUAUUUUUAUCUUUUUCAGACAGGGUCUCGC